rnacentral:rRNA from 1 species
AUAUUGGACAAUGGGCGUAAGCCUGAUCCACCCCUGCCGCGUGUGUGAUGAAGGCCCUAUGGUUGUAAAGCUCUUUCAUCGUUGACGAUAAUGACGGUAACCGUAUAUGAAGUCCCGGCUACCUUCGUGCCAUCAGCCGCGGUAAUACGAAGGAGGCUAGCGUUGUUCGGAAUUAUUGGGCGUAAAGCGCACGUAGGCGGACAUUUAAGUCAGAGGUGAAAUCCCGGGGCUCAACCCCGGAACUGCCUUUGAUACUGGGUGUCUCGAGUGCGGAAGAGGUGAGUGGAAGUCCGAGUGUAGAGGUGAAAUUCGUAGAUAUUCGGAGGAACACCAGUGGCGAAGGCGGCUCACUGGUCCGGUACUGACGCCGAGGUGCGAAAGCGUGGGGAGCAAAC